CAACUUUCAACAACGGAUCUCUUGGCUCUCGCAUCGAUGAAGAACGCAGCAAAAUGCGAUAAGUAAUGUGAAUUGCAGAAUUCAGUGAAUCAUCGAAUCUUUGAACGCACCUUGCGCUCCUUGGUAUUCCGAGGAGCAUGCCUGUUUGAGUGUCAUGA
rnacentral:rRNA from 1 species